GUGGGGAAUAUUGGACAAUGGGGGGAACCCUGAUCCAGCCAUGCCGCGUGUGUGAAGAAGGCCUUUUGGUUGUAAAGCACUUUAAGCGAGGAGGAGGCUACCGAGAUUAAUACUCUUGGAUAGUGGACGUUACUCGCAGAAUAAGCACCGGCUAACUCUGUGCCAGCAGCCGCGGUAAUACAGAGGGUGCAAGCGUUAAUCGGAUUUACUGGGCGUAAAGCGCGCGUAGGUGGCCAAUUAAGUCAAAUGUGAAAUCCCCGAGCUUAACUUGGGAAUUGCAUUCGAUACUGGUUGGCUAGAGUAUGGGAGAGGAUGGUAGAAUUCCAGGUGUAGCGGUGAAAUGCGUAGAGAUCUGGAGGAAUACCGAUGGCGAAGGCAGCCAUCUGGCCUAAUACUGACACUGAGGUGCGAAAGCAUGGGGAGCAAACAGGAUUAGAUCCCGGUAGUCC
rnacentral:rRNA from 1 species